UGAUGGGGUUGCAUGUACAUGUGUUUCCCUAUGUUUCUGUUUUUUAUAUUUUUGAAAAUGUCGUUUCCUCGUGCUUGCAUUUCCGUGCUACAUGGGCUGGCGGUUAUAGAUCCUUCUUGUAUUGGUUGUGAAGUCCACCUCCCUCUGGAAAAAUUCCAACUAAAAAAUAGCAGUGAAGUACAGAGAAAUAGAGAAGGCUUUUCUCAGGCUUUGAGCAAGAAAAAACAGAAUAGGGACUUCAACCUUUGAAUCUCAAAUCAUGAAGAAAGAGAA
rnacentral:misc_RNA from 1 species